rnacentral:lncRNA from 1 species
CCCCAAGACAACUGUGAGAUCUUCCCUAAAUAGUGAGGUCACCUCCAGAACCACAGGCAGUCACAAAAUUUGGGUAUCUUCAUCUCCCAUC